rnacentral:rRNA from 1 species
CCUCUGAUUCAGCGGCGGACGGGUGAGUAACACGUGGGCAACCUGCCUGUAAGACUGGGAUAACUUCGGGAAACCGGAGCUAAUACCGGAUAACUCAUGAGACCACAUGGUCUUAUGAUAAAAGAUGGUUUCGGCUAUCACUUACAGAUGGGCCCGCGGCGCAUUAGCUAGUUGGUGAGGUAACGGCUCACCAAGGCGACGAUGCGUAGCCGACCUGAGAGGGUGAUCGGCCACACUGGGACUGAGACACGGCCCAGACUCCUACGGGAGGCAGCAGUAGGGAAUCUUCCGCAAUGGACGAAAGUCUGACGGAGCAACGCCGCGUGAGCGAUGAAGGCCUUCGGGUCGUAAAGCUCUGUUGUUAGGGAAGAACAAGUAUCAGUUAACUGCUGGUACCUUGACGGUACCUAACGAGAAAGCCACGGCUAACUACGUGCCAGCAGCCGCGGUAAUACGUAGGUGGCAAGCGUUGUCCGGAUUUAUUGGGCGUAAAGCGCGCGCAGGCGGUUCUUUAAGUCUGGUGUGAAAGCCCCCGGCUCAACCGGGGAGGGUCAUUGGAAACUGGGGAACUUGAGUGCAGAAGAGAAGAGCGGAAUUCCACGUGUAGCGGUGAAAUGCGUAGAGAUGUGGAGGAACACCAGUGGCGAAGGCGGCUCUUUGGUCUGUAACUGACGCUGAGGCGCGAAAGCGUGGGGAGCAAACAGGAUUAGAUACCCUGGUAGUCCACGCCGUAAACGAUGAGUGCUAAGUGUUGGAGGGUUUCCGCCCUUCAGUGCUGCAGCUAACGCAUUAAGCACUCCG